UACAGAGGCCUCGAGCGUUGUUCGGAAUCAUUGGGCGUAAAGCGCGCGUAGGUGGCUUCGUAAGUCCGUUGUGAAAGUCAAAGGCUCAACCUUUGAAUGCCGAUGGAUACUGCGGAGCUAGAGUACGGAAGAGGCGAGUGGAAUUCCUGGUGUAGCGGUGGAAUGCGCAGAUAUCAGGAGGAACACCAAUAGCGAAGGCAGCUCGCUGGGACGUUACUGACACUAAGGCGCGAAAGCGUGGGGAGCGAACAGG
rnacentral:rRNA from 1 species